CCCUUCCCUCCAGCUUAUAGCCUGUUAGAGAAAUAUGCAGAAUCUCCCUUCAGGGAGGUCACAGCUGAGGUCAAGGCCACUUAUUAUUGCAAAGGUACUUGGAAUUGUACUUUUGAAUCUGGCCCCAUAGCAACCUCAAAUAAAAACAGAAUUCUGUAACUAAGGAGGAAGCACUCAGGCCAAAGAGAGGGCAACCUCAGGCUGCCUGUUGCGGCUGCCAUUCUGAGCACGGGACACCUUCAUGGCCCUUUUCACUGCUGGCUCUCUCCGAUCAGACCAUCCCACAGUAGCCUCAGGAAUCCGAUAGCCAGUUCUACUGUGGAAGCCGGCUUCAGACCCCAUCUGUCUUGCUGUCCCCAGAGACUGUCUAUCUGUUGCCCACAUACAUUCCAGAGCAAGUGAACACCAAGGGUUUAAAUGUGGGCACAUUUUCUACUGCAAGGAAGGAAAGACGAGUAAAGGAGAUAAACCCUGAGCUGCAGCCCGCCCGACGUCUGCCUUCUUGCAAGGAACCUGUGGAACCGGACUCCCUCGUAUCCUGGGAAGGAGCACCACACAGGAAAGGGGCUGUGCAUUUCAACUAGUUCUACCCCCAGCUGUUAAGACACCGGGCAAGACGCCCAGGGAAACAAGGUUUUGCCUGUAAACUGAAAAGAAGAGCGUCGGGAGGAAAUACCAGGAUGCCAAACUUGUGGUUACACUAAUAAAAUCAUUGAAAGAUGGCAAACGGUACCCAGCAUCUGGGCCUAUGGCAUCCGGGACUGGAGGGGGCUGCUCUGUGCAUCCUGGAGGUUUUGCCCUCACCUGCAUCAGCCACAAGGCUGAGGAAGGCUUGAGAACCUUGUGGAAUUAUCUGUGGUAUCUUGAGGUACGCACUUUUGACCAUCGAGACAAAGUGGCCAUUUUCCCAGCUUGCUCAGAAACUCAAGCAUAGACAGGUUUCUAGAUAAAUGGUUGAACUGGGGGCCCUUCUGAGAAUCUAGGACUGCUUUUCAUUUCUCAAAAGAACAUGCACAGAAUGGUGGGCAGGGAGAGCAGCCUCAAAACACAGCCUGGACCCCAGUUUCAGUCCUGUCCCAGAAGCAUUGUUUCUUUUUUGCUGCAGACUAGGAACUAAAUGCGGGUGUAUAGGCAGGGUCAUACUCGACCCUCACAAAAACUUACAAGGUAGUGUUAGCAAAUAUUAUAGGUCUGGGGUCAUUCAGAGAUUCACCAGCCUAUUAAUAAAUUUGAUCAAAGAAGAGGCUUUUUAUUCAGACACGGGUACCAGUUCUGCCCUGGAGAACAGAGACUCAGGAUUUCUGAAUGCAGCGCCCAGCCACUCCAGUGAGGGUUUGUAAAGGCAAAGAAUACAAAGUUACCAUUGCGCUGGUGCAGCAGAAGGGUCCUCUUUACAGAAGCAGAAACAGCCAUAAAAAACAAUGUAACCCUUAACAGCCUUAAUGUUUGGAGGCCUAGUCUUGCUUUAUAGUUCUGUUAAGUACAGAGAUGUUUAACUUUUAAACAUAAAGUUAGCCAUUGAUGUUACUUUACCUACCCUAUCUCCCGUCCAGUUAUACUCUGAGUCAAAUCAAUCCUUGACUCUGUGUUGGGUACCUGUUCAUAUUGAGACUUAAUUACCACCAGUUUAAUAGCUCAUAAGUAGGAAUUUACAUAUCUUGCCUUAGCAUUAAUGAUGCAGGGGCCAACUAUAAUCAGCAGGCAUAGGAGAGCUAAGUUGGUUGACAGCAAGAAGAACCCAAGAAAGAAUUUCCUCUCUGUGAGAUGUUUUCGAAUUUCAGCCAAAUUAUCCUGAUAUCCCUGAGUGGUUUGCAUAGAAGCGGAUGAUUUCCCCCAAGGCUACAGUGACCUCCUUGUUCUGCACAAAGCAGGUUAAACACCCUACCAUGUUGUAAGACUACCUCAGCCAAGAGUCAACGAUUCUGUUAAUUUUGCAAUGGACUUUUCUCAUGCAAAUAAAUUUUAUAAAAU